GCAAGGCUUUUCCAAUCUCUAUAUAUAGAUAUCACACACACAUACUGAUAAAUUCUAAAACAAAGCAUAUCCAAUCUUCUUCUUCUUGUUGUUGUUGUUCUACAUAUAAAAACAAAAGAAACAUGAGUUACUACAAUCAACAACAAGCACCUCCUCCUUCAUAUCCUCCUCCAGGACAGGCUUAUCCAGCACCAACAGAGGGGUAUCCUACAUAUGCAGCACCUCCUCCCGCAGGCUAUCCAACAAAAGAUGAGGCCACUAACCCUCAAAAAUGCUCCGGCACAGACUCAGAGCCGUGGUGAGGGUGGUUUCUGGGAAGGAUGUUGUGCUGCCCUAUGUUGCUGUUGUCUCCUUGACAUGUGCACCUGAUAAUCCCCUGCUGGAUAAAGGAGGCCUCACAUUAUAUUAUACACAUAAUACACAUAUAUAGUUCAUUUGAACUUACUGCAUGAUUAGUGUUGCUUUAGCCUAUUAAUAUGUGAGGUUCAUCAGUAUUAAUAUUGAUUGUACUUUUUUAGUUUCUGUGUGUUUUCCUCCUCAUUUAUUUUAAUAAAGAUCCAAUUAUUUU